rnacentral:rRNA from 1 species
GGUGGUGCAUGGUUGUCGUCAGCUCGUGUCGUGAGAUGUUGGGUUAAGUCCCGCAACGAGCGCAACCCUUAAGCUUAGUUGCCAGCAUUCAGUUGGGCACUCUAAGGUGACUGCCGGUGACAAACCGGAGGAAGGUGGGGAUGACGUCAAAUCAUCAUGCCCCUUAUGACCUGGGCUACGCACGUGCUACAAUGGACGGUACAAACGGUUGCCAACCCGCGAGGGGGAGCUAAUCCGAUAAAACCGUUCUCAGUUCGGAUUGUAGGCUGCAACUCGCCUACAUGGAGCCGAAAUCGCUAGUAAUCGUGGAUCAGCAUGCCACGGUGAAUACGUUCCCGGGUCUUGUACACAC